GGGCGGUUGGUGUAGUGGUAACAUAUCUGCCUUCCAUUUUAGCAGGUGCCAGGGGUUCAAUUCCCCUACCGCUCA
rnacentral:tRNA from 1 species